rnacentral:lncRNA from 1 species
ACCCCAACAUGCACUCACAGCAAAUGGGCUAGAUAAUUCAUUCAGCCCCCAAGUAGGGCGUACUCCACAAUGACCACUUCAGAUGUGGCCAUGGAGGAUGCUGAACAAAGAAGAACUAUCCAGUGUGUGACGCCAGGGAGCCACCACUAACAAUAGCUUCAUGCCAAUGAAUCAUCCCUCAGUUGAGGACGACGUGCCUGCAGAGAUUCAUCAAGACUGCUCCAGCUCGUGAUUGGAAAGGGAGAGAAAGAAAUGCUGGGACAUCCAGCUGUCACACAGCUAACCGGAAAGCCAUGUGGUCAA